AUUUAUGUAGUUUAACUAAAACCCUCCAUUUUCAAUGGAAAAAUGGGCAAACCCCCUUAAAUA
rnacentral:tRNA from 1 species